UCUCAACCCAUUAUGGCAUUCUUUUUUAUGGACAUGUACUUAUGCCCUGUUGUGAAGGGCAACAGUACUGAUCCUUGACAAAUAGUCUGGCAGCUAACUUGUGGCACAAAGAAAAUCGGUAAAAUUUUCUCCCAGAAUUUAGCAGUACUGUUAUAUUCUUGUCGCUAGCAACAAGGAACUUGUAAGAGAGUACAGAAAUAGUAAGUAGGAUUCACUAUAAAAUGUAAUGAUCCACUAUGUAAGGUAUGCAGGGGAUAUUCCGUUGAUUCAUUUAUCCCAUGUAGCUGUAGAGGGUACAUGUAAAGGGCACAAUAGGAUUCCAAUUUGGAAAAAGAUACAAAUAUGGAGAUAAUGACAACCCUUUUCGUACCCAGUAGUCUUUAUUGUCCCUCUACACCCACAAACUAUCCUCUCAUAAUAGGAUUUAGAUCAGUAAGAACAUUUAUCACAGUAGAUAUUGUUACAAGAUAGGAAUGGAGGCUGAAAUGUUGGAUGUAUUGGAUAGCCCCAAAUGGGGUAUAUAUAGUACAUGAGCACCCAGACCCUAGACAAUAGGAAAAGACUAAACUAACAUUGACUCAUUUACUCUUAUACCCUUAACACCCCCUCUCAAAUGCAACGUGAAUGCAAUGACGUUGCAUUUGGAGAGUUGAUACUAAGCACUAGACUCAACAAAAAGAAAAUGAUACAUCCAAAGUCCGAAAUGAAAGAUGUCGUCGAAUCGUGCAAACUCUUGAACAUGUCGAUGUAGAUGAUCUCCUCCACAAGAGGGUAUUGCCUUCACAACCGUACUUCAGCGAAUACCUCAAGUCUUCACAAACCAUACAUCAACUCCUCAAACACGAGCCUUGCUUUGGAGUCUUGAACUUGACAAUAACUUGAGAUGUGUCAAACCAGCCAAACGGAGAGGAGAAUGAGAGAUCACUGCUGCAAGACGGCAAGCAGGAGGACAUGUGAUGACGACGACGAAUAAACGGCCAUUGAUCCUGACGUGGAGCAAAACGGCUCCGAAAGAGACCAAGAGGGCAAAUGUCGCACCACAAUGAUGAUGUGAUUAGCUAAAUCGACGGGACUCAGCUAACCAUAAAACAAAACUAAGAAAUUGGCUGACUGACAAUCAUGAAUUUUGUGGACACGCACGGCAUUGACGAACCGGAGAAAUAUAUGUGGACUUGGAUUGAUAUAGCAGAACACGAGACAAAUGAAAAUGACUUGAUAUAGCAGAUGCUAGCAGGCAGCAGCAAUAGUAGCUAUAUGGCAGCAGCAGGACAAAAUAUGGAGAUGGUCAAGCAGCAGUUAGCAAUGACAUGGUAGAAGAUCACUGAUUGCACAGAUAACAAGCUACUUGAAGAUGACGGCACAGCCCAAGCAAGAAAUUGGAGCAUAUUGCAACCGCAUAACCAUGAGAGGCAGGCCAAGGAAACAAGAAGCUUGAACCAAGUUCAGCUAGGCGGCGCCUAGACGGCGACUAGGCGCGACUAACCGGUAGUCGAGGGGGUUCCGCCUCGCCUAUGGGGGUAGGCGGACCCCUAGGCGGGCGGAGGUCGCCGGUGAGGUCGGACGGCGGGCGCGGGCGGCGUUGGACGGCGGGCGCGGGCGGCGUUGGACGGCGGGCGCGGGCGGCGGUGGGCUCGGACUGAGGGAGAGAGAUGCGGGAGAGGAACUGGCGGCGGGGACGCGGGCGCACGGGUGCGGCGGCGGGGACGUGGGCGCAGGGAUGCGGCGGCGCGGGAUGCGGCACGGGCGCAGGGAGCGGAAGUGGUGGCGUGCGGGAGAGGAUGCGGAAGAGAGAUGCAAUUCUGUGAUGGCGGCGGAGGCUGGGAUGGCGGGGGCGAUGCAGGGGCGAGAGGCGGGGGCGAACGAGGGGAGGGGAGGCGUCGGGGAGAGGAUAAGGUGGGAGGUGGGUUGUUGAAUAGUUGGGCUGCUUUGAUGGGCUUCCUUUUCGACUAAAGGCCCAAUGGUCCCCAGUUUUUUUUUUAGAGGUACAUAUGAUGUAUAUGGCAAGGUAUAUGUAUGUAUAUGGCACCGCCUAGGAAAACACCUAGGAACGCCUAGGCGCGAUUAAUCCCGCCUAGGCGCUAGGCUAUGGGUCGCCGCCUAGAAACCGCCUAGCGCCUAGCUGAACCAUGAGCUUGAACCACUGCUACUGAAAUUAGAGGCCACAUGACAACAAAGCAGUGGCAAAUGAUAAUGAGCCAGGAACAAGCACAAGUUGACAUAUAAUCGCUUCCUCUGUUCUCCCCCAAAUGAGGCUUGCGGCAGCAUGAAACUGCAGUUGAGAAUGUGUACUGGAUGGAGAAGAAAGAGAGAUGAGCAGAGGAAGAAAUCACCACUAGGAAGAUGCUUAUGGCUCCAGCAGAUUGAGGGCCGACAGCUGCUGCUCCAUCCGUGCGUGGGAAGCCCCGCGAGAGGAACGGAGGGAUGGCCAGGAGGACCAGCAAGCUGAGCAACGGGGACAGCUGGUGGACUGCUGGACUGACGGCCGGCCGCAGCUCGCACUCGGGCGGACGGAAGAUGCAGAGCAGGGGAGCGGACGGAUCCAUGGUGGGGCCGGCGACGGGCAGGCGGGGGCUGCUGCGGCGAGCAGCAGAGCAGCUGCACCCCUCCCGCGACAGCAACUAGCGGACGGCCGCGUGGCGCACGCGUGGACAGGGCGCGGACGGCGCAAAUGGCCGCGCGGGGAGGAACCGCGACAGGCGGCGACGAAGACGGCCGGCUGAGGAGGCGGAGGCGGCCAGAUCCACGACGGGCAGGGCUUGCUGCUCCACUCCCGCGACCGGAUCGACGACAGAUCCGCGACGGGGACGGCGUGGACGGGAGCUGACGACGCUGGCGGGUGCCGCGCGACGGCGCGGAUGGAUUCGCCGCAACGGGCGGCGGACAGAGGACGGCGGCGACAGAUCCAUGACGGGCAGGGGCUGCUGCUCCCCUCCCGCGAGCGGAUCGACGACGGGACGAACGGCGAUGGAGAUCUACGACGAAAUCUUGCUGCUGCGGCGGCUACUACGACGCAGCUACUAAAAAAAAGAAAUGGGUUUGGGGCUACUGGAGGAGAGGCCGCCCCCAGGAGCAAACGAAGCUCCCAGGGGCAGCGCAGCGGCGACGGAGGGUGGCGGACGGAUUCAAGAAACCUGGAGCUGUGAUACCAUGUUACAAGAUAGGAAUGGAGGCUGAAAUGUUGGAUGUAUUGGAUAGCCCCAAAUGGGGUAUAUAUAGUACAUGAGCACCCAAACCCUAGACAAUAGGAAAAGACUAAACUACCCUUGACUCAUUUACUCUUAUACCCUUAACAGAUAUCACAUAGUGUAAGACAUAAUAGUGUUGUGGGGGGAUUGGUUUCAUAUACCAUCUACAUUAGGAAUGACGAAAGCAUGACAAAUAUAGCUAUCCUUCCUUAC